GCACCUUUAGCUCAGUUGGCAGAGCAAUUGACUCUUAAUCAAUGGGCCCAGGGUUCGAAUCCCUGAAGGUGCACCA
rnacentral:tRNA from 1 species